AAGAAAUCAGUUCAGCACUAAGUCACUUUGUCUUUAUGGCAAAUGUGAGAUGCAGUGUAUGGAAUGUCAAAUUUCUAGUAUGAGAAAUUAACGAUUUAAGUCCUUCUUAAAUGAGGCCAUUUACCCAAAGAGGGUGCCAGGCCCGUAUAACGUUAAUGAUUACUAGAUGGCAUUUCCAAAGAGUCGUGUUGCUUGAUAGUGCAGCACUAAGUGGGUGGUAAACUCCAUCUAAAACUAAAUAUAACCAUGAGACCGAUAGUAAACAAGUACCGUGAGGGAAAGUUGAAAAGAACUCUGAAUAGAGAGUUAAAUAGUACGUGAAACUGCUUAGAGGUUAAGCCCGAUGAACCUGAAUAUCCUUUAUGGAAAAUUCAUCAUUAUGAUUUUAAUAUUUUUAUAAUACUAAAAUAAUGGUGUGCAUUUUUUCCAUAUAUGGACAUUGUAAUCUAUUAAUAUACACAUCCUAUUUAUUAUAAGAUCAUUAGCUUUAGUUUAUUCAAAUUAUUUUGCUUGCAAUUUAACAUAGAAUAAAUGCUUUUGAUUUAAUAAAGUGUUGAUAGAUUUAUUAUAUAUAGUGCUUGAAUAUAUUUAUAUAUUCUAUAAUGGCAUAUUGAUCAUUGAUCUUUAUGUUUCAAUUAUAUGCACUUAUAUGAUUAACAAUGCGAAAGAUUCAGGAUACCUUCGGGACCCGUCUUGAAACACGGACCAAGGAGUCUAACAUAUUUGCAAGUGAUUGGGAAUUAAAAACCUAAAAGCGAAAUUAACAUAACUUAUAUAAUGGGAUUAGUUUUUAGUACUAUUUAUAGUCUAUUAAUUCAAUCCCGGGGCGUUCUAUACAGUUAUGUAUAAUAAUAUUUAUAUUAUUUAUACCUCUAACUAGAGCGUACCUUGAGCAUAUAUGCUGUGACCCGAAAGAUGGUGAACUAUACUUGAUCAGGUUGAAGUCAGGGGAAACCCUGAUGGAAGACCGAAACAGUUCUGACGUGCAAAUCGAUUGUCAGAAUUGAGUAUAGGGGCGAAAGACCAAUCGAACCAUCUAGUAGCUGGUUCCCUCCGAAGUUUCCCUCAGGAUAGCUGGUGCAUUUAAAAAUUAUGUAAAAUAAUCUUAUCUGGUAAAGCGAAUGAUUAGAGGCCUUAGGGUCGAAACGAUCUUAACCUAUUCUCAAACUUUAAAUGGGUAAGAACCUCACCUUUCUUGGUAAUGAAGGUUGUGGUUGUGAUAUAAUGUGCCCAGUGGGCCACUUUUGGUAAGCAGAACUGGCGCUGUGGGAUGAACCAAACGUAAUGUUACGGUGCCCAAAUUAACAACUCAUGCAGAUACCAUGAAAGGCGUUGGUUGCUUAAAACAGCAGGACGGUGGACAUGGAAGUCGUAAUCCGCUAAGGAGUGUGUAACAACUCACCUGCCGAAGCAACUAGCCCUUAAAAUGGAUGGCGCUUAAGUUGUAUACCUAUACAUUACCGCUAAAGCAGAUGGUUUAUGUUCAAUUUCGGUUGGAUUUAAUAAACUUUGAAGCUUUAGUGAGUAGGAGGGUACAAUGGUGUGCUUGGAAGUGUUUGGCGUAAGCCUGCAUGGAGCCGCCAUUGGUACAGAUCUUGGUGGUAGUAGCAAAUAAUCGAAUGAGACCUUGGAGGACUGAAGUGGAGAAGGGUUUCGUGUGAACAGUGGUUGAUCACGAGUUAGUCGGUCCUAAGUUCAAGGCGAAAGCCGAAAAUUUUCAAGUUAUAAUUUGGAAAGAGAAGGAAUUUAUUCCAUGCUUUAGUAUAUGUCUUAUGCACUUGAAUAAUUUUGAACGAAAGGGAAUACGGUUCCAAUUCCGUAACCUGUUGAGUAUCCGUUUGUUAUUAAAUAUGGGCCUUGUGCUCAUCCUGGCAACAGGAACGACCAUAAAGAAGCCGUCGAGAGGUAUCGGAAGAGUUUUCUUUUCUGUUUUAUAGUCGUACUACCAUGGAAGUCUUUCGAAGAGAGAUAUGGUAGAUGGACUAGAAGAGCAUGACAUUUACUGUUGUGUCGAUAUUUUCUCCUCGGACCUUGAAAAUUUAUGGUGGGGUCACGCAAACUUCUCAACAGGCCGUACCAAUAUCCGCAGCUGGUCUCCAAGGUGAAGAGUCUCUAGUC
rnacentral:rRNA from 1 species